GACGAACGCUGGCGGCGUGCUUAACACAUGCAAGUCGAACGAUGAAGCUAGAGCUUGCUCUGGUGAAUUAGUGGCGAACGGGUGAGUAACACGUGAGUAACCUGCCCCGAACUCUGGGAUAACUGCUGGAAACGGUAGCUAAUACUGGAUACGACCUACGAAGGCAUCUUCUGUAGGUGGAAAGAAUUUCGGUUCGGGAUGGACUCGCGGCCUAUCAGCUUGUUGGUGAGGUAAUGGCUCACCAAGGCGACGACGGGUAGCCGGCCUGAGAGGGUGACCAGCCACACUGGGACUGAGACACGGCCCAGACUCCUACGGGAGGCAGCAGUGGGGAAUAUUGCACAAUGGGCGCAAGCCUGAUGCAGCAACGCCGCGUGAGGGAUGACGGCCUUCGGGUUGUAAACCUCUUUUAGUAGGGAAGAAGCGAAAGUGACGGUACCUGCAGGAAAAGCACCGGCUAACUACGUGCCAGCAGCCGCGGUAA
rnacentral:rRNA from 1 species